CGAACGGGUGAGUAACGCGUGAGGAACCUGCCUCAAAGAGGGGACAACAGUUGGAAACGACUGCUAAUACCGCAUAAGCCCACGGGUCGGCAUCGAUCUGAGGGAAAAGGAGUGAUCCGCUUUGAGAUGGCCUCGCGUCUGAUUAGCUAGUUGGUGAGGUAACGGCCCACCAAGGCGACGAUCGGUAGCCGGACUGAGAGGUUGAACGGCCACAUUGGGACUGAGACACGGCCCAG
rnacentral:rRNA from 1 species